AAAGAUUUAGUUAAAAUAAUAAUAUUAGUUUGUCAAAUUAAAGUUAAGUUUUGUUAAUCUUUU
rnacentral:tRNA from 1 species